GUAGGGAAUUUUCUGCAAUGGGCGAAAGCCUGACCGAGCAACGCCGCGUGAGUGAAGAAGGCCUUCGGGUCGUAAAGAUCUGUUAUGAAGGAAGAACGUCCAUCAUAGGAAAUGAUGGUGGAGUGACGGUAAUUCAUGAGAAAGCCACAGCUCACUACGUUCCAGCAGCCGCGGUAAUACGUAGGUGGCGAGCGCUAUCCGGAAUCAUUGGGCGUAAAGAGGGAGCGAGCGGCGGAAACCAGAUGGCUAGAGUGCGGUAGAGGAUCGAGGAAUUCCAUGUGUAGCGGUGAAAUUCGUAGAUAUAUGGAAGAACACCAGUGACGAAGGCGACGAUCUGGGCCUGUACUGACGCUCAGUCCCGAAAGCGUGGGGAGCAAAUAGGAUUAGAAACCCUGGUAGUGC
rnacentral:rRNA from 1 species